AGUGAACGCUGGCGGUAGGCCUAACACAUGCAAGUCGAACGGCAGCACAGUAAGAGCUUGCUCUUACGGGUGGCGAGUGGCGGACGGGUGAGGAAUACAUCGGAAUCUACUUUUUCGUGGGGGAUCACGUAGGGAAACUUACGCUAAUACCGCAUACGACCUACGGGUGAAAGCAGGGGAUCUUCGCACCUUGCGCGAUUGAAUGCGCCGAUGUCGGAUUAGCUAGUUGGCGGGGUAAAGGCCCACCAAGGCGACGAUCCGUAGCUGGUCUGAGAGGAUGAUAAGCCACACUGGAACUGAGACACGGUCAAGACUCCUAAGGGAGGCAGCAGUGGGGAAUAUUGGACAAUGGGCGCAAGCCUGAUACAGCCAUACCGCGUGGGUGAAGAAGGCCUUCGGGUUGUAAAGCCCUUUUGUUGGGAAAGAAAAGCAGCAGGUUAAUACCCCGCUGUUCUGACGGUACCCAAAGAAUAAGCACCGGCUAACUUCGUG
rnacentral:rRNA from 1 species